CCGAGUGAGGGCCCGCGGCCCGACCUCCAACCCUUUUGUUUGACCACUUGUUGCCUCGGGGGCGGCCCGGACGCCGACGCGUCGGCACCCCCGACGGACCCAACCGCAACUCUUAUGUCGAUGCGUCGGAGUACUUUGCGAAUCAAUCA
rnacentral:misc_RNA from 1 species